UAAUUUGUUGACUCUGUAGCAUGUCAAGAAGAGUAGUUUUUUGAGAUCUGGCAAGAAUAUUUUAGAGAUACAUAUUCUUUUCUAAGUAUGUUAUCACCCUGUGGUGUUGAGCAUAUCGUCCCAAAAACCUGCUUCAGCAAGCAGUUCUUGGCCAGGCAUGGUGGCUCACACCUGUAAUCCCAGCACUUUGGGAGGCCGAGGCAGGUGGAUCACGAGGUCAGGAGUUCAAGACCAGCCUGGCCAAGAUGGUGAAACCCCAUCUCUACUAAAAAUACAAAAAUUAGCCGGGCGUGGAGGUGGGCGCCUGUCAGCUACUCGUGAGGCUGAGGCAGAGAAUUACUUGAACUCAGGAGGUGGAGGUUUUGGUGAGCUGAGAUGGCGCCACUGCACUCCAACCCGAGCGACAGAGCAAGAUUCCGUCCCAAAAAGAAAAAGCAGUUUUUGCCAUCAGCAAGGAUAUCUCCUCCACUUUAAUGGACAGGCCUCAUUUUUGGCAGCUAUGCUGUUUGAGAUGUAGACUGAAUAUCCAAGGUUCCUCCCUAGCUCAAGUUUUUACUUGUGAUUACACACACCACAUUGAAUUCCGUCUUCAGAGGCAAAGAUUUGGGCUUCAUAUCUCAACAGCAAAAGGGCCUGUUCAGCAAUUCCCUUCAUUUUAGACUCAUAUGACCUCAGCGAUUGCAUGAUAGUAGUAAACUAGUCUCCUGGAAAUAAUGGAUGUAGGUGCUUCUAGAAUAUGUUACAGAAUUUCAGACUUAACCUAUUAAUAGAUAAAUGGAUCUUGACUUAAGGUGACAAAAUGAAACUUUUAUUAUUGCUUAAAAAUGCUGUGCCAAUAUUGUAUAACUAGCUCCUCUAAUACUUUUGGUAUUUUGGAUUUAAUAAUAAGACCUUAAGCAUUUUAAAUGUGAACAUGUUCAGGGAAGUAUGCUUUGAUGUAAAUGUCUCAGAUCUAAGUUGUAACACAAUUGAAUACUUGUGGCUUAUUCUUGGUUUAACUUAGGAAAACUGGUUAAACAAUCCCCCAUUUGGGCCUGUCAUCAUUUUAAUAGUGACGAUGUUCUUUCUGAAAUCUUCAGGGUCGGAGUCAGGCUGAAUUUUUUUAAAAAUUAAAUAUUAUGUUCAAAUUCUUUCCUUUUUGCCAUUGUGAAAAAGCAAAAUUUUAAAUGAUUUCUCCUGUUAGAAUUUUUAAAAAUACCCACAGGUUGGACCAUCUUUCUUAUGGGUUGCACAAUGAAUUUAUAUUUUAAAUUAGAUUAAGUAGAAUGUGAAGUACAUUUCAGAUUUACUAGUUUUCUUUCCAUUGUUCAUUUUGGGUUGCCUCAGAUUCAGUGUAUAUUUUAAAAUAUUGGUUACAUAAUAGGUACUCAAUGAAAUGGUUUAUAGUAGAAUAUCUAAGCUAGCACUUUAUUUUAAAAAGUAACUUAUUAAUUAAUCACACAUUGAUGGUACACCUUGUAUUUAGCAAAUGUUUGCAUGUUGAUAAAAUCUCCUAUGUCUUCUUUCUUAAAUCCAGUUGCUGAUUUUGUAAAAUACAGUUGUGAUAAAGCAGCAUUACGGGGGGGAAAAAGCUAUAUUCCAACUGGUGUUAAAUGUAUUCAACAAAAUCUUACAUCAUACAGUAUUUAUUUCUUAAUUAAUAGAACUUCAGUGAUAUACUUGGUAGAUAUCUCAAGCCUUUUGUCUUUUACACAAUGGUGCUCUAUCCUAUUGUUUUCUUUUCAAAGAAGCAUCUGAACACUUGCAUUUCUAUUUUCCUAUCCAAAGGCAUCCACAUCUAAGUGUGUUUUUAAAGUUGAUUAAAAUUAUUUUUCUGUUAAAGCAUUCUGAAAGUGUUUGUCUUUACCUAGAAUGAUUUGUACACACUCGUGGUCAACUGAACAUGAAUGUCAGUAGUAGUCUAAUUAUGGGAAGGGUAAACGUGUUAGAUUAAGGCUCUUAAAGCUCUAAACCAUAUAAACUAUGGACUUGUAUCAUGAUUUAACUGUUCUUAGAUCUUUCUUACACAGUGAUUCAUUCCUCUAUUUGUACAGUGGCUUUAUGAAAUGUUGUGAAUUGAUACUGUAAUCAAUAAAGUGCUUUUAACCAG
rnacentral:lncRNA from 1 species